rnacentral:sRNA from 1 species
UAUUUUGUUCAUAAACUGCAUCAUCCUUGGAAUCUUCUACUUCUCACUCAUGAUCAAAAUUUAGGAUAGAGAAUGGUAUACGGUUUAGUCUAUUUUGAAAUAAAAGUUUAGUUUAC